ensembl:lncRNA
GAACCUCCAAGUAUAGCAGAGCGUGAGAAACAGGGGUCUGAACUGUCCAGGUCCACAUAGAUUGUUUCCAACAGUAAAAGAUGCAGCACUACAGGACCUGUGGUGUGGAAUCUGCAGAAGUGAAACCACGGACACAGAGGCACUGUGAGUACAGACGGCCAAGGAGAUGUCACAUGCAGGUUUUGAACUGAGUGGAGAGAGGAUUCUCUGAGCGAUCCAGACUCUCCCUUGCCGAUGCGUAUUCCUGACGAGCAGCAGGCCAGCCCAGGCUUUGGGCCUCACUCAUCCCACCCCCAUCAUCUCAGGCUGUUGAUAAUUGCAUUGUCUUUCAGGGACCAAGGCCACAGUGCUUUCAUCUGCUUCUGUGUAUAAGGCACAUCCAUCAAAAUGCAUAUUUGGGAUGUGCUUUGAGGCAUAUGAAAAGGAAUUUUAAAAUGCAAUAAUCCAUUUCCACAAGAAAAGAGUUUCGUUUAGAGCAUCUCUGCAGAUAAUGACAGAUUUCCUUCUUGAUCUCUUUUCGGGGCGAGCCUCGUUGGGAAAUCCAGGUGCUCCCUACCAAGAGGCAAGACAUCAGCUAAAGCCUGAGAAUGGAGCCCCUGACUUCUAUGAGGCAUUUAUUGAGUCAACAAGUAAAUAAUGGCUGCACAUUUCUUCCUCACAUGCAGCAGUUUUAUGCCUUUAGUGGUCUUAUUCCUUGAACAGAUGUGUCUUUUCAAAGCUGUCUUCCUUUCCUGGGAACAGAAGAUUUCUUCUUAAUUGUAUGCUUGGAAGCUGCUUCAGAGGUGUUUCUGAACACACCACUGAGGUCGCUUCUCACUGGGAGCCAAGUGACAUGCGACCCACCCUAUCAUCAGGGAUGUGAACAGCCGGCUCCCCACAUCAAGCACCCAAUUAGCGAGUGUUCUUUGGCUGAAUGUACUCCGCAGCCCGUGCAGGCAGCAUCUGGGCUUUGAUUUCGGAAGCCUUAGAAAUACCUGGGAGUUAUUUGAACGCAGCGGUCUGGGAGCUACAGAAGAUAAACAAGAAGCUUUUCACAGCCAGUCAGCAAACCGUUGGAUUUGACAGCCGACACUGAAGUUUGUAUCAAAUUCCUUCCACGUUAGUGUUUUGAAUAACCAAGCACUUUAACCAGGUUUAUGCUCGGAACUUCCCUUUAUCCAUUAAAAAGGAGCCUUCGCAAAGGAUCAAUAUCUAAAGCCCAUUGGGCAUUUGCUAUUCCUUUUAUGAUUUCCUCAAUGAUGGGUAUUAACAAAGAAAACCUCACUCUGGAAGGCGCCAAUGGAAGCUGGCAACCAAAAGGAUACCGCUUUUUUUCUUAUAAGUAAUAUACUAGGCUCUUGGGUCACCUUCACACUGUGGUUACAUUCUUUCCCUGGGUAAGAGGUCUUGUGAGCUAUCAAGUGGCUGAGAAAACAAGCAAGGAAAAAAAAUGAUUGCUCAGCAGGAAAAGCUCAAUGCUGGGUCCCAACCUGCCUCUCCGCCCCAGCAAGGUCAUGGAAAUUCAAUGGAAGCCCAAGUGGGUCUUGAGCGCAGACGCCAAUGGGCACGAUCCAGGCACAUGAGGGGUUUGUCUGACAGCUGCAUGGCCCGACUCCAGCCUCAGCCCCGCUCUGCAGAGGAGGGCUCGCCCGCCCUGCGAUUCCCCACUGAGUCAUGAGGUCAAGUGAGAAUUCCACUGCUGUCUUUAAAUAGUCUUGGCUCUGGCACGCAAACGUGGGUGAGGCUACUGAGUGUGCCUGGGUGUGCCUGGUGGGGCUCGGCAGGUCUCUGGUUGCUGCUGUAGGUGGAGUAUGGUGUGGACGUCUGUAGCUGCCUCCCAAUGACACUGCUAAGAGCUGUUUGCCGAGAUUCGACCCAAGAGCUCAGGCACCUGUGUGCUCCUGGAACCAGGUGUCUGAUGCUAAGGGCAGGCAUCGGGCUGCCCUCUUCGAGGGAUGGGAAAUUGACAUUGGGGUCUGUUGAGAAAAUCACGUGUCCUAUGAAUAAGUUACAAGGACACUGCCCCCCCUCCCUUCACCAUUGAGCAGCUCUUAGAAGAAAUAAAAGGCAGCUCCACACUAAAGCUGCCUAAGUCAGAACCUGAGCACGAGCUGCCCCCCACCCCAGGCUUUACUGCCCUUUUCCGCAUGGGGUGAAGGGCAGAGUGGGGAUGGCAUAAGAUGGUUGCAGUGAACGGGCCUUUGGCUGAUUCAUGUCAAUCCUGUUCUUUGGUGUCUAAAAAUUUGGGGCUCGGUCUACUCGCCAUGCAGUGCGUUAUCCUUGCUUCAGUCCUUUGCUUUAACUUCCCUUUAGGGAGGAUCAGGACUUGCCGCACGUAGAAAUCCACGUGGUCUGUGUCUUUCACCAAACUGCCAGCUCUUUGUAGAAGGAGCUGAGCGUUACUCCUCUGAGGUCUCUGCCCAGUUCCAGCCUAGAGAAGAUGCUAAUACCUAUAAAUGUCACUGAAUUAAACUAAGGGUGGUAAGGAGUUAGACAAGUCCUGGCAGCCGCACCCAGUCCUGUCUUACUAGUAUUUGCUGCUUCCCGGAGACAAACAUGCCAAGGAGCCUGAGCACCUGGCCCUCCACUGACCAGAAGGUGCUGCAUUUUCACCACCAGCCUCUCAUCCUCGUUCUUUAACCCUCAACACACAGCACUGUCUCAGGGGCUCCUGGCCAUUCUCACAGCAGUGAGGUCCAUUGACUUUC